UACAGAGGUCCCAAGCGUUGUUCGGAUUUACUGGGCGUAAAGGGUGCGUAGGUGGUGGGGUAAGUCGGAUGUGAAAUCUCCGAGCUCAACUCGGAAAGUGCAUUGGAAACUACCCUGCUCGAGGGUUGGAGGGGGGACUGGAAUACUUGGUGUAGCAGUGAAAUGCGUAGAUAUCAAGUGGAACACCAGUGGCGAAGGCGAGUCCCUGGACAACUCCUGACACUGAGGCACGAAAGCUAGGGGAGCAAACAGGAUUAGAAACCCUAGUAGUCC
rnacentral:rRNA from 1 species